AUGGUCACUCCACAAACACCGACCCUACGUGCACACAUUACCCUGCAUGCACCAGCGCUGCAGCAGGCGCCUGAACCUGACCGAGCCGCUGAAGAAAGAAGUUCCAGACUCUGCUGCACCGAGGGAGUGAUCCGACUCCCAGAAGAGCUGAUGGCGUGUGAUGAACAUGUGCACACGCUGCACUCACGGCAUUCAGACCUACACAUCAGCAGACACGUAUUGACGGAUGGAGGGUGUGCUCCUCCUCCUCCUCCUUCAACCAAGACACAAUUUAACGCAAAGGAAGUUGGACGGAGGGGGAGGAUCGAUAUCUGCUCAGCGUCAGUCAAAGGGGGAGGCUGCCUGCUGAGCGGUCCACAGGGGAGAGCCAUGCAGAUCCAUCAGGCUGCUCCACAGCUAAUUGUGUCAUUAAUUAUUGAUGGAAGCAGCGGACAGUUAUUGAUACAGCCACACAUCUAUGUGUUCAGGCAACAAAGUGUCCGCUUUCUGUAUUCUUGUUCAGAUCGGAUUGCUUUAACCAGAUAUUUACAUACAUUACAUUUUCUUUAUCGAUAAAUAUUGAAUUCCCUUUUUUCUUUCUUUAACACCAGUAAAUAUUAACAUUUUCUUUUGUUAAAUGUAUGUCGGCAAUGAUGAGGGAGGGACAUUUUUUGCCACUUUUGUCAGUCAGAAACAUACAUUAAUGAAGGUUUAUUUAAACAAGCAUUAACACUUUUGAGCUCAAAAACCACCUGAUAGGUUAAUUCAUUUCAUUUGAGUUAAAUGAAGGCCCCCCUGUGGAUGCACAUGAAGGCAGAGCUCAAACAUUGAGCCUCCGACUUUGAUAUCAUGGAAAAUUGCUUGAAGGUCCCAUCCGUCCAGACAAUACUGCAUCACCUCAGGUGUGAGAAACUUCUGCUCCAGAGAUGAAUGUUUUCUCUUUUUUUAAGGCGAGAAAUAAGUGAGUCCACUCCAUGACGAUAUAGCCUCAAGCUGUGGGAUGAUUAUCUUCAGUAAAGCAAUUCCUGCACCACCAUGAACUGAGAUCAUACCUUCAGGACAAACAUCAGAAUAACCGUUUGUUACUUCCAUAGGAGCCAAAAUCCUAAUUCCCGGUCUAGCCACCAUCCCAGCUGUGCAGCACGGGGGUGGUGGCGUAGUCAUAUGGGUCUGCUUUGCGGCAGAUUGGGCCAGUACACUUCUCAAAACACACGGCACCACUAGAAAAGAAAGUCAUACGGAAUCAGAACCAAAGAAUCAAAAACCAAAGUUGUAAAUUAAACUCACAUUGCACAUUUUGAGCUCUCUAGAUGAUGUCAGCAUGAAGGAUGAAGCAGCAAAACCCAGAAAAGCUUUUUUCUGUCCCGUUUCUUCAGUGUUUCCUGAUUUCUGAUUCUGGAGCUUCGACCAAAAAAGGAACCGGAACCUUUAUACCUACAGAUCCAGCAAAGGGGAAAAAAAAAAUCAAGAAAGGACUCAAAUUUUUGAAUGACAAAAAAAUCAAUUUAGGGUAAAACAAAUAAAAAACUAAUGUAGAAAACAAAAAAGCAGAUUACAUAAGAUGUCAGUGGUACCACAAAUAAACAAAUAAGCAAAAUAUUCUUAUUUAAAAAUGGUUUUAACUGCACAAAAAAAGAACCCAACUGAAGAACAAAUAUCCAAGAACAAAAGAAAAACAUACUUUUCAUGGAAAAAUUAUUUUAUAGACAUUUUCUUUUUAGAUUAACAGCUGUGUUUUUAUUUUAAGCCAAGAUCAAUAGAACUGAUGGUAUUAAAACAUCAAAAAUGUUUCUCUAUUAAUCUGUUAAGCUAAUGGUGGAAAUAACAUCAGAACUAUAUGGCAGUUUUUUUUCUAAAUUAAACUCAAAGUGAGUUAAAAGCAGCAAAAUGUACAUGUCAGGUCAAAUUUCAGACUGGAUGUGCAUUCACUGUUUUAAAAUUAAUCCAUCUCCUACAAUUUAAAAGAUUUUAACUUUUUGAAAAUUGUUUAUUCCUUGUUUUAUUCUGGACUGAAAUGUGAUUUUCCGUCUUUGAAUGAGAACUGUUGUCUUCAUCGGAAGACACUUUUCCUUCACUAUUUAAAAAACAGAAUAGUAUUAAAAAACAAACCAAAAAAUCAAAUCAAUCUUUUGUUUUAUACAGCACCAUUCAUAGAAAGUAGCUCAAAAAGCUCCAACGGUCUUAUUCCUCUUAUAAACUUAGUGCUAAUUAUAUUUUUGUUUGAAUGAUGAUAAUGGAGCAAGAAAGAAAAUAGAGAUUUAUUGAUUUUUCAAACCCUAACCUAAAGAGUGAGGUUGAAAUGUGUAAAUCAGCAGAGAAAGAAAGAUCCACAAAUGCCCCUGAAAGUAGGUAGGAAACUGCAGGAAUCAACUCACAAACUGGUUAAACAGUUGUAAUUUGUGGAAUCUUGAAUCACAUGAUUUACUGUUUAAAUUAUUAAUAACAUAAUCGUGGUAAUAAUCUAUUAAACUGUGUAACUUGAAACUUCUGGAGAUCAGAAAACUGAGCAGAGUUUGUGUUUAGUGUCGAUCUCAAGUGUGAUGUAAUGACAGCUUUUCGCCACUAGGAGGAACUGCUGCAUCAUGCAUGUUGCAUGUACAGUGUAGUGACAGUCACCUUAUCUUUAUCAAACAAUUUGUAUCAAGUGCUAAAUCAAAGAAACCUGUAGAAACAACCAAACCUUUACAUAUAUACCUGUCAUUUUUUUGAAAAUAGAUAACUGCAGCUAUUGCAAUAAUUUACUUUGCACUGUUUUUAUUUACACAAUUAAUCUACUAAUUUCAUACAAUAAUUAUGCCUAUGCCACCAAACUGAUAAAUUAAUUAAAAGAUGAAAAAAAAAACAUUUUGCCAACACCUGUCUACUGCUCUCUGAUUUAUUUAACAAUUCAUUUCAAUGCAUUUUAUUUGUGUUGUUUGUCAAUCAAGUUAUUUUUGGUGCUGGUUUCCAUUCUUUGUAAAUGUUUUUGUGUUCAAUAAAGUAAAAAAAAAACAUUUUUGGAGUCUUCUGGAAAAAAACCCUCAAAUAAAAUGUUCUUUAUAAAUCAUGACAAUUAUUGGUUCCAUUGUUC
rnacentral:lncRNA from 1 species